AGAUCGUGGUGUGGACAGCAUCUCAAUAAGUCCUUGUACUUGCCCCAGGCGUUGUGAUGCUCUCAUCGUUCAUAUGCACAAAAGAAGAAAUGUCAUUUCUCAAUUU
rfam:Ricinus communis cultivar Hale ctg_1100012358781, whole genome shotgun sequence.